AGCUCCCAGGGCCGAGGAGGGAGGCUGAGCCGCCCACGGGACUGUGACUGCUGUGGUCCCGCAGGAGCGCAGGCCUCGGAGCUGUCUCUCCCCGGGCUAGGCAGACUCCGGCCUCCGGAACAGGACUGAAAGGACAGGCCAGAAAACAAAUCCACAGCCCCAUCAAGAAACACUGAGUUUCUCAACUGGCAGUCCUGCACUACCUGAAUUCAUCUGCCCUGAUGUUUUUGGUGAUCCUCCAGUAACCCAAGCCAUGUCUGCUACAACCACAACAGGAAUGUGAGUCAUUCAAACAUGAAAGAGUCUAUCCACAGAAGAUCACUCCCAGAAGCUUGUGAUAUAAUGAAAAGGCCGCUCCUGAAAUCAGCCUGUCACCUUCCAUUUGGAAGUUUUCAGAGUUCAAACCUACUCCAUGGAGUUCUGCUGAAGGUCAGACACCAUUUGCUCCUGUCUACCACACCAAGCUACCAAUUGCUUCACGUCAG